AGUGAACGCUGGCGGCGUGCCUAAUACAUGCAAGUCGAACGGAGUGGCGCACGGGUGAGUAAUAUAUCGCUAAUCUGCCCCUUGCUGGAGGACAACAGUUAGAAAUGACUGCUAAUACUCCAUAGCAAGGGAUGAGACGAUAUCGUAUCAGCUAGUCGGUGGGGUAACGGCCUACCGAGGCUAUGACGCGUAACUGGUCUGAGAGGAUGAUCAGCAAAAUCGGAACUGAGGCACGGUUCAAACGUCUACGGGAGGGAGCAGUAGGGAAUAUUGCGCAAGGGGGGUGAAUCUGACGCAGCAACGCGGCGUGGAGGAUGACACUUUUCGGAGCGUAAACUCCUUUUGUUAGGGAAACGGUACCUAACGAAUAAGCACCGGCUAACUCCGUGCCAGCAGCCGCGGUAAUAC
rnacentral:rRNA from 1 species